CCGAAAAUUUUGCUUAAACGAUUCUGGCCCAGCUACCAGACCCAAUAAAAAUAAUCCUCAUUCUGCUUCUAGACUUGUCCAGUAAACGACUAUAGAUUUUCUGUGUUCUUGUUUCUUGUAACUGAAAACAGCGACUGCAUUGGAUUCCGAACUUAAUAGUUUUCUGUAAGCCAAUCUGCAGUCGUUAAUUCCCAUCUUAGUACCUAUUUCCGUGAAGAAGUUCAACUAAACUUGGUCUAAUAUUUAUAUUCUACUCUGCAGUUCCUGUCAAAAUGUGCUGCGGACCUUGCUACUCGUGCUGCGGACCCUGCGGAGGUUGCUGCGGACCUUGCGGGCCCUGCGGUGGCUGUUGUGGACCUUGCGGACCUUGUGGACCUUGUGGACCCUGCGGCGGCUGUUGUGGACCUUGCGGAGGAUGCUGCGGACCCUGCUGUGGUGGCUGUGGUCCCUGCUGUUAGAAACAUCUUCAGAACGAAACCUAGGUACUAACCAGCAUUCGGUACAAAAAGCAACAGCAAACCCUUUGUAAAUUUAUGUAACCAUAUACAGUAAUAGUAUAUAAAUAAAAUGGGAACAAAUUAAAAAUGUAUUUAUGCAUAAUUGUUAUUGUCUGCUGUUACUUUGACUUUGAAGCAUCUCUCUACAUUUUGUUAGCACUAUAAUAUGCUCUUGCAUAUGGUCUCGGCAGUAUUACUGUAGCCAGGAUCGUAUUGUCGGUUCAAAGUAAGCUAAAUAAUUGGACCGUAAAGAUUUAACAUAUAUGAGGAUCUUGGAACUAAUAAAUACCAACUAUAUGAUAGUUGUCCGAUCUGAUCGGUUCCGACAUAUUAACUGCCUGCAACAGAAAGACGGAGGAGGAGCUACUACUUAAAGAAUGAGGAAGACGAAGAGACGGACAGAAGAACAUGGCUAUACUCGACUGUUGAUUCUGAUCUAGAAAAUAUAUAUUUUGACUUGACAAAGUCGUUAGGCGAAGACUAAGUUGGCUCUGAAAACGAUUCUGGCCUAGCUAGCAAACCCAAUACAAAUAAACCUCACUUAGCUUCUAGCACUUGUCCAGUUGACUAGAUUUUUGUGUAACUAGAUUUUGUGUAAAUUUUUUGGGAAUGUUGAAGUUUUUCCUGUAACAGAACACAUCGACUGCUUUGGGUUCCAGGAACUUUAUAUCCAGACUUGUUUUCUGAAAGCCAAUCAGCGGUCGAUAUUUACCAUUCUAGUACCUAUUUCUGUGAAGAAUUUCAAAUAAACUCUCUGUCAAAAUGUGCUGCGGCCCUUGCUACUCGUGUUGCGGACCCUGCGGGGGUUGCUGUGGACCUUGCGGUGGUUGCUGCGGACCCUGCGGCGGUUGCUACGGAGGGUGCUAUGGCUGUUGUGGACCUUGCGGAGGGUGCUGCGGAGGCUGCUACGGUGGCUGUGGUCCCUGCUGUUAGACCCAUCUUCAGAACGAAAUCUAGGCACUAACUUUUUGUUACAAAAAGUAACGGCAGACCCUAUGUACAUAUUUGUUUCUCAAAUCAUAUAGUAAUAGAAAUAUAGAAAUAAAGUGAA